CCACUUGUUGCCUCGGCGGAUCAGCCCGCUCCCGGUAAAACGGGACGGCCCGCCAGAGGACCCCUAAACUCUGUUUCUAUAUGUAACUUCUGAGUAAAACCAUAAAUAAAUCAAAACUUUCAACAACGGAUCUCUUGGUUCUGGCAUCGAUGAAGAACGCAGCAAAAUGCGAUAAGUAAUGUGAAUUGCAGAAUUCAGUGAAUCAUCGAAUCUUUGAACGCACAUUGCGCCCGCCAGUAUUCUGGCGGGCAUGCCUGUUCGAGCGUCAUUUCAACCCUCAAGCACAGCUUGGUGUUGGGACUCGCGUUAAUUCGCGUUCCCCAAAUUGAUUGGCGGUCACGUCGAGCUUCCAUAGCGUAGUAGUAAAACCCUCGUUACUGGUAAUCGUCGCGGCCACGCCGUUAAACCCCAACUUCUGAAUGUUGACCUCGGAUCAGGUAGGAAUACCCGCUGAACUUAAGCAUAUCAA
rnacentral:rRNA from 1 species